rnacentral:rRNA from 1 species
UAAUUAAGAAUUUUUUUUUUUUGUUAUUUUUAUUUGCUAUGAGAAAUAAUUUUAUAUAAACUGAUUUUAGUAUUGUUUAUAAAACUAUUUAUUUAAAUUAUAAACUAGAGUACUGUGAGGGAAAUUUGAAAUAUUUGAAAAAAGAAUUUAUAAAAAGAAAAUUUUAGAUAUUUUACCUUGUGUAUCAGGGUUACUUUAAUUUUAAAAUGUAUAAAAAGUUAAAAUCUCGAAAUAAAAAGAGCUAUAAUAUUAAUUAUUAGCUUGUACAAACUAGCUUUAAAAUUUUAUUAUGGUUGUGAAAUGUUAGUCGAUUUUUAUGAUAUCUGGUUAUUGGAAAAUUAAAUUAAAUUUAUCUUUUUUAUGUGGUUUAAAAUAUAAAAAAGUUAAGAGAAGGAGGGAAAGCUUCUUUUUCUAUAAUGUUUAUUUAAUAAUAUUAUUUGUUUAAGUAUUUAAAUUAAGCUUAAAAGUAGCUAUAUUGUUAAAGUGUUAUUACUAUUAUUUAUAUUAAAAUUAUUUAUAUAAUAUUUUAAUUAUUUAUUCAAUUAAUAUAUUUAUUUAUAUAAUAUAAGAAAUCAUUAGUAAAUUAGUAGAUUAAUAAGUUUUUUUUUAUAUUAAAAUGAAUUAAUUUUUUUUAUUAAAAAAUAUUAAUUAAGUAACUCGGCAAAAAUUAUAUUUGCCUGUUUAUCAAAAACAUGUCUUUGUGAAUUAAAUAUAAAGUCUGGCCUGCCCACUGAUUUAUUUAAAGGGCCGCGGUAUUUUGACCGUGCUAAGGUAGCAUAAUCAUUAGUCUUUUAAUUGAGGGCUUGGAUGAAAGGUCUUACAUAAUAUAAUCUGUCUUAAUUAAUUUUAUUGAAUUUAACUUUUAAGUAAAAAGGCUUAAAUAAUUUAGAGUGACGAUAAGACCCUAUAAAACUUAAUAAUAGAAAUUUAAAUAUUUAUUUAGAUUAAUAAAUUUAAUUAGAUUAAACUUAUUUUAUUGGGGCGAUAAAAAUAUAAGAUUUAACUGUUUUUUAUAUAAAAAUGAUAAUUUUCAUGAAGUUUAUUGAUCCUUUAUUAAAGAUUACAAGAUUAAGUUACUUUAGGGAUAACAGCGUAAUUUUCUUUGAGAGUUCUUAUCUACAAGAAAGAUUGCGACCUCGAUGUUGAAUUAAAAGUUCUUUAAGGUGUAGCAGCUUUAAUAGGAGGUCUGUUCGACCUUUAAAUUUUUACAUGAUUUGAGUUCAAACCGGUGUGAGCCAGGUUGGUUUCUAUCUUUUAAUAAUUUAGUAAAUUACUUUAGUACGAAAGGAUUUAGUAAUUAAAAUAUUUUUUUACUGGUUGAUAUAAAUUAAUUUUUUU